AGGUCUUGACAUCUGUGGAACCUUGUUGAAAGAUGAGGGUGCUCGGGAGCCACAAGACAGGUGGUGCAUGGUUGUCGUCAGCUCGUGUCGUGAGAUGUUGGGUUAAGUCCCGCAACGAGCGCAACCCUUGCUAUUAGUUGCUAACAUUUAAGGUGAGCACUCUAAUGGGACUGCCUGUGACAAGCAGGAGGAAGGUGGGGAUGACGUCAAAUCAUCAUGCCCUUUAUGACCUGGGCUACACACGUGCUACAAUGGAUGGUACAGAGAGCAGCGAGACCGUGAGGUGGAGCGAAUCUCUUAAAGCCACUCUCAGUUCGGAUUGGAGUCUGCAACUCGACUCCAUGAAGUCGGAAUCGCUAGUAAUCGCGAAUCAGAACGUCGCGGUGAAUGCGUUCCCGGGCCUU
rnacentral:rRNA from 1 species